AGAGGAGGGGCUGAGUCGAACCACACAGAACGGCUGAGCUUCCAGAAGGAGCGAAAGAUGGCGGAGGAGAAAGGGUCAUACAGCACCACCCAGCACUCGCCCAGAUGCCAGAUAGUGCUCUAAUCUUGCUGUCAUGGAGACAGAUGAGGACGAGAAGACGACUGCUCCCCGCAAAUCAUGGCACUGCAUCAGCAUCGCCAUCACCAUGAUGACUCGUCCUGCUGGUUGAAACUGAUGGCUGUCAGUGGUCCAUAGAGAACUAAGCAUCAUGUGUGACUCAGUGUCCUGCUCUACUUUCGGCCUGAGAAGAGGGGGAGCGGCGUAUAGGAAACCAUGAUGGCUGUGUGUGAGAGAUGGUGUUUACUCUGAGUAAACAAGCAACCAAGGAACCGAGUGGAACUUCCCAUGCUCACCCUGAUGUGAGGGAGUUGGUCCGCCAAGCUGGAGAGACGCCUGUCCUGAGGGGGCCAACGCCUGAUAACGCAGAUCAGACUUGCUCAUCAGACGUGCACACCGUCCUGCCUCAACACACCACACGCACCGCCAGAUCUGCAGAUACAGCUGGGCAAACCCAACAUACACAGCCGUGUUGCCCAUACAUACAGUAGACCAUUCUGUGGUGCAGUAUCACAGAAUGAAAAACCGAGCACCACAAAUUGAUCAAUAGCCUUACGUAUAUGUCAUUGGGGGUACACACAGAAUAUAUACUGUAGUUGCACCCGCCCAAUGGUUCCCAUAGCACCACGUAAUCCUACUUUGUCUAUUGGAAGUAUUGCUCAGACAGCGAUAACCCAUAUGAGUGUGGUCAAAAUAAUGUCCAUAUCAAUGUAAAACAAAUGGUUAACUUGUUGCAGAGGAACUACUUUUGUCAUGAUGAGUGAACUUGUUUCCUGUCACAAAAAGUAAUAUAGAGUUACCGGACAUCAACUUGCACUGUGGAAAAACUCAAUAUAACCCCUCAAGUCAACAUAAAAUAUGUCAAGCGGGUCUUUUCCACUAUAAUAUAAUAAUAUAACAUAUUAUGUUUAAUUGACUCAGCUUAACUCUCUGAAAACAAGGUGAUUUGAUCAACAAAUACUGUAUUUUUAAGGUGAGU